rnacentral:rRNA from 1 species
UACGAAGGGGGCUAGCGUUGCUCGGAAUGACUGGGCGUAAAGGGCGCGUAGGCGGAUGGCACAGUCAGAUGUGAAAUUCCCGGGCUUAACCUGGGGGCUGCAUUUGAUACGUGUGAUCUAGAGUGAGGAGGAGGGUCGUGGAAUUCCCAGUGUAGAGGUGAAAUUCGUAGAUAUUGGGAAGAACACCAGUGGCGAAGGCGAUCACCUGGGGUUGUUCUGACGCUGAGGAGCGAAAGCUAGGGGAGCAAACGGG